rnacentral:rRNA from 1 species
AACGAACGCUGGCGGCAUGCCUAACACAUGCAAGUCGAACGAGACCUUCGGGUCUAGUGGCGCACGGGUGCGUAACGCGUUGGAACCUGCCCUUAGGUUCGGAAUAACUCCCCGAAAGGGGUGCUAAUACCGGAUAAUGUCUUCGGACCAAAGAUUUAUCGCCUUUGGAUGGGCCCGCGUUGGAUUAGCUAGUUGGUAGGGUAAAAGCCUACCAAGGCGACGAUCCAUAGCUGGUCUGAGAGGAUGAUCAGCCACACUGGGACUGAGACACGGCCCAGACUGGUACGGGAGGAAGCAGUGGGGAAUAUUGGAAAAUGGGCGAAAGCAUGAUGAAGCAAUGACGGGUGAGUGAUGAAGGCCUUAGGGUUGUAAAGCUCUUUUACCCGGGAUGAUAAUGACAGUACCGGGAGAAUAAGCACCGGCUAACUCCGUG